rnacentral:rRNA from 1 species
CGUACUUGCGCUCGACCGCCUUGGAUCACGCGCUUACCUUUGUAGCGCCCACUUUCGCGUGUUAUUGGAGCGACACCA